rnacentral:rRNA from 1 species
AGUGAAUAGAUACCCUGGUAGUCCUGGCUGUAAACGAUGCGCGCUAGGUGUUGGUAGGGCUAUGAGCUAUAUCAGUGCCGUAGAGAAAUCGUUAAGCGUGCCGCCUGGGAAGUACGCUCGCAAGAGUGAAACUUAAAGGAAUUGGCGGGGAGCACCACAAAGGGUAGGAAGCCUGCGGUUCUAAUUAGGUACGUCAACGCCGGGGAAACCGUUAACCGGGGGUCGGACAGCAGAAUGAGGGUCGAGGCGUGACGACCUUACCAGACAAGCUGAGCGGAGGUGCAUGGCCGUCGCCAGUUCGUGCCGUGAGGUAUCCUGUUAAGUCAGGCAACGAACGAGACCCACACGCUUAGUUGCCAGCAAAACGACCGAAACGGUUUAGUUGGGAACGACUAAGUGGACUGCCAUCGUACAGGUGGAGGAAGGAGUGGGCCGACGGCAGGUCAGUAUGCCCCGUAACU